ACGGAAGGCAGCAGUGGGGAAUAUUGCACAAUGGGCGCAAGCCUGAUGCAGCGAUGCCGCGUGAGGGAAGAAGGUUUUCGGAUUGUAAACCUCUGUCGACAGGGACGAUAAUGACGGUACCUGACUAAGAAGCCCCGGCUAACUACGUGCCAGCAGCCGCGGUAAUACGUAGGGGGCAAGCGUUAUCCGGAUUUACUGGGUGUAAAGGGAGCGUAGACGGCAAGGCAAGUCUGAUGUGAAAUCCCGGGGCUCAACCCCGGUGCUGCAUUGGAAACUGUCAAGCUAGAGUGCAGGAGGGGUAAGCGGAAUUCCUAGUGUAGCGGUGAAAUGCGUAGAUAUUAGGAGGAACACCAGAGGCGAAGGCGGCUUACUGGACUGUAACUGACGUUGAGGCUCGAAAGCGUGGGGAGCAAACAGGAUUAGAUACCCUGGUA
rnacentral:rRNA from 1 species